rnacentral:rRNA from 1 species
ACUGGGUUUAAAGGGCGCGUAGGCGGAUGGUUAAGUCAGAUGUGAAAAAUGCAGGCUCAACCUGGAUUGUGCAUCUGAUACUGGUCAUCUUGAGUGCAGGAGAGGGCAGUGGAAUUCCUAGUGUAGCGGUGAAAUGCGUAGAGAUUAGGAGGAACACCAGUGGCGAAGGCGGCUCUCUGGACUGUAACUGACGCUGAGGCACGAAAGCGUGGGGAGCAAACAGGAUUAGAUACCCUGGUAGUCCACGCUGUAAACGAUGAAUACUAGGUGUCGGGGGUCGAACCUCGGUGCCGCACGCUAACGCAAUAAGUAUUCCGCCUGGGGAGUACGAUCGCAAGAUUAAAACUCAAAGGAAUUGACGG